rnacentral:rRNA from 1 species
CAACCUGCCUAUAACUAGGGAAUAACCUUGCGAAAGUAAGACUAAUACCCUAUGAUUUCCUUUGAUGGCAUCAGAUUAGGAAUAAAGAUCUAUCGGUUAUAGAUGGGGAUGCGUCUGAUUAGCUUGUUGGCGGGGUAACGGCCCACCAAGGCGACGAUCAGUAGGGGUUCUGAGAGGAAGGUCCCCCACAUUGGAACUGAGACACGGUCCAAACUCCUACGGGAGGCAGCAGUGAGGAAUAUUGGUCAAUGGGCGAGAGCCUGAACCAGCCAAGUAGCGUGCAGGAUGACGGCCCUAUGGGUUGUAAACUGCUUUUAUAAGGGAAUAAAGUGAGUCUCGUGAGACUUUUUGCAUGUACCUUAUGAAUAAGGACCGGCUAAUUCCGUGCCAGCAGCCGCGGUAAUACGGAAGGUCCGGGCGUUAUCCGGAUUUAUUGGGUUUAAAGGGAGCGUAGGCCGGAGAUUAAGCGUGUUGUGAAAUGUAGACGCUCAACGUCUGCACUGCAGCGCGAACUGGUUUCCUUGAGUACGCACAAAGUGGGCGGAAUUCGUGGUGUAGCGGUGAAAUGCUUAGAUAUCACGAAGAACUCCGAUUG